UUUCGGCUGUUCUGUAUUAAUUUUAGUGUCUUAGAGUUGGGCUUUUAUUUAAUUGAAUAGUUUUGGCCCGUUUACAGACCCAAUUGGUAUUAAGUUUGUCGCCGUCUUCCUCUUUCUGAAGCGACAUCGACGAUGUAAUUCACCAACUUAAACCAUCGAUCCAAAAUCUGAAACGCCUCGCGAUCCAUAAAUCAUUUCUUUACUGAGUUUUCUUAAUUAACCCACUCCGUCUACAUGAAUCAAUCAAUAUACCUCUUCGUUUUCCACAGUAAAUGGUUUAAGCUUCAUGUCGCUCGCAGAUGUUUUGGGAGGCGAGAAACAUGGAAACUGAUGAGUGUUGACAUGUAGCUCAUCGAAACUCUGGAUGGUGCACGGAACUGUUUCUAUAUAUGCUUCGCCACUCCAGGUUCAGAAAACCUCUCACCGAAGGCUCUGUCUACAGUCUAAGAAUGUGACCCGGAGCAACCCCAAAUUCCGGUUAUCUGAAGGGCCCGUGUCAAUACGUUUCAAUGAUAAAACGGCUUUUGAUAAGGGAUCAAAUAAUCAGGGAUAGACCCUACAAUGGUAUCGCAAAACUGAAAAACAAGUGCAGCUCUUCCUCCGAGUGCAACUCAGAGCCAUGGGUCAAGUCUUAUCUAAGGCUAUGAUGCAGUUAUAUUACUCCGAGUUGGUUACUUGAAAGCUGAAACAAUGCUUCAAACUGCCGAUGAACAAGUCAUGACCUUAAAGAAGCAUAGUGCUUUUCUGGCUCAGUUAGCAGCAAAAACAAAUCAAUAUGCAGAGUCAGUUAGCAGAAACAAUCAUAUCUAACACUUGAUUCGUGCUCAGAUAACUCAAUUUUGGAACAAUUAACAUGUGGUUCCUCCUUAACCCACCUGGAAAGGCAACCAUUCAUGUGGCAAACGUGUAUUCUUUAAUGCAACAUAUGAGACUCAAUUCAACUUCGUCAAUGAGACCUGUGCUGGUUAUUGGUUCCUCGACAAGUAAGAUGCUCAAAUAAUAGUCUGUUACUUACACUUUCAUCAUAGACGCCUACUCAAACAUGACACAUUAUUCACCACAUGUUGUGUUAAUCUAAUGGUCAUUGCUUCUCAAGUUCUUCGAUGUAUGGAUGUGUUCAGAAAAUAUAAACAGUAACGGUGCCAGAGCUUGAUUCAUCACCACAGGUCAAUACCGUACUAGGUUCUUAUUUUUAAGCAUGACCCGAGUGUGGAGGACCCGUUGCGAUCUCCCUUAAUGUCUCCCGCAUCUCUGCUGUCAGUAGAGCCUACACUUUUCAGUUGCAGCCGUCCAAAUUCAAAUUCUCUUCCAACUAUCAGACAUUCACUAUCUCCGCUCUUCGAUCGCAACUGAUAUAGACACAGUAGUAGCUAUCUAACAUUGGGAUACACGGAGACAAUCACAACCCUGACGAUGAUAUACCGGGAGCCACAUAUGUUUUCUGCAAGAGUUCUGAGGGAAUGAAGCUCAUUGGUAGCUACUGGCCUUGCUCACAUCAGCUCGCAAGUCAAAAUGACAAAAACUUCUCAAGUUUCAGAGAUUACGACCCUAUUUACUCGCAAGUCUUGAUAUACCUGCUAUGUUUUCAAAUAAUGCGCACAAUAAAUUCGUACUUUGCACUUAUUCAAGACUUUUGCUUUGCUUA